rnacentral:rRNA from 1 species
AUUGAACGCUGGCGGCAUGCCUUACACAUGCAAGUCGAACGGCAGCACGGGUGCUUGCACCUGGUGGCGAGUGGCGAACGGGUGAGUAAUACAUCGGAACAUGUCCUGUAGUGGGGGAUAGCCCGGCGAAAGCCGGAUUAAUACCGCAUACGAUCUACGGAUGAAAGCGGGGGACCUUCGGGCCUCGCGCUAUAGGGUUGGCCGAUGGCUGAUUAGCUAGUUGGUGGGGUAAAGGCCUACCAAGGCGACGAUCAGCAGCUGGUCUGAGAGGACGACCAGCCACACUGGGACUGAGACACGGCCCAGACUCCUACGGGAGGCAGCAGUGGGGAAUUUUGGACAAUGGGCGAAAGCCUGAUCCAGCAAUGCCGCGUGUGUGAAGAAGGCCUUCGGGUUGUAAAGCACUUUUGUCCGGAAAGAAAUCCUUGGCCCUAAUACGGUCGGGGGAUGACGGUACCGGAAGAAUAAGCACCGGCUAACUACG